CCAAUCGAACCCGGAGAUAGCUGGUUCUCCUCGAAAUAGCUUUAGGGCUAGCCUCAUGGAUCAUUGGUGGGGGUAGAGCACUGAAUGUGCGCGGGGGCCACAAAGCCUACCAAACGCUAUCAAACUUCGAAUACCAUACAAUGCAGACCAUGGGAGUCAGUCCGCGAGAGAUAAGUUCCGCGGGCAAAAGGGGAACACCCCAGAUCAACCGCUAAGGUCCCCAAGUUCACGUUAAGUGGAGAAGGAUGUGGAAUUGCACAGACAACCAGGAUGUUGGCUCAGAAGCAGCCACACAUUUAAAGAGUGCGUAAUAGCUCACUGGUCGAGUGAUUGUGCGCCGAAGAUGUCCGGGGCUAAACGUGACACCGAAGCGAUGGGUGCGUCUGAAGAAGAUGCGCGGUAGAGGAGCAAUGUGCAGAGGCAGAAGCCGUAUCGAGAGGCACGGUGGACACUGCACAAGAGAGAAUGCCGGUAUGAGUAGCGAGAGGCAUGCGAGAAACAUGCCCGUCGAAAGCCCAAGGUUUCCUGGGGAAGGUUCAUCCGCCCAGGGUAAGUCGGGGCCUAAGCCGAGGACGGAAGUCGUAGGCGAUGGACAGCAGGUGUAGAUUCCUGCACUACCGAUGGAAUGAAGCAGUGACACAGAAGGAUAACUCGAGCAGGGUGAUGGUCAACCCUGUGCAAGCAUCAAGGUUGGGUUGUAGUGAAGUACGCAACCCUAUAAGCUGAGGUGUGAUGCGGACCGAAAUUUCAGUAGGGAAGCGAGUGAGUUCACGCUGGCGAGAAAAGCUGCUAGUACAUCCAAAGGUACCCGUACCGGAAACCGACGCAGGUGGGCGAGGAGAGAAUCCUGAGACGAACGGGAGAACCCUUGUUAAGGAACUCGGCAAAAUGACCCCGUAACUUCGGGAUAAGGGGUGCCUGCGAGAGCAGGCCGCAGAGAAUAGUCACAAGCGACUGUUUAGCAAAAACACAGGUAUCUGCGAAAGCGAGAGCUGACGUAUAGGUGCUGACACCUGCCCGGUGCUGGAAGGUUAAGGGAACAUGUUAGAGCAAUCGAAGCAUCGAACCGAAGCCCCAGUAAACGGCGGCCGUAACUAUAACGGUCCUAAGGUAGCGAAAUUCCUUGUCGGGUAAGUUCCGACCCGCACGAAUGGUGUAACGACUUGUGAGCUGUCUCAACAGGGGGCCCGGUGAAAUUGAAGUAUGGGUGAAGAUGCCCAUUACCCGCGACUGGACGGAAAGACCCCGUAGAGCUUUACUGCAGCCUGAUAUUGAGUUUCGGUAACUGAUGCACAGGAUAGGUGGGAGUCUGAGAGACACGGGUUUCGGCUCGUGUGGAGACGCUGUUGGGAUACCACUCUUCGGUUACUGAAAUUCUAACAUAGCUCUGUGAAACCAGAGGAUGGACAGUGUCAGGUGGACAGUUUGACUGGGGCGGUCGCCUCCGAAAGAGUAACGGAGGCGCCCAAAGGUACCCUCAGAAUGGAUGGAAACCAUUCGAAGAGCGCAAAGGCAGAAGGGUGCCUGACUGCGAGAUUGACAAAUCGAGCAGAGACGAAAGUCGGGCUUAGUGAUCCGGCGGUAUUGAGUGGAAAAGCCGUCGCUUAACGGAUAAAAGCUACCUCGGGGAUAACAGGCUGAUCUCCCCCAAGAGUCCACAUCGACGGGGAGGUUUGGCAC
rnacentral:rRNA from 1 species